UCACCCGUCUACUCCGGAGGAGAUAUAAGUAUUUGUACCGCAUAGUACGGAGGUUCGAAUCCUACGCGAGGCGU
rnacentral:tRNA from 2 species